CCUCUUUUCAAAUCAAGUCAAAUCUUUUAGUUUGCAUCAAAAAGAUGUUCUACUAUGAAGGUAGUACCCACUUUUUCAGGUUGACUUGUUUUCUUUUUGUUCCGCCGGUUUUCCCCCAACGAAGUAAUCUUUCUGGAAUUGGUAGGGAUUUGACUCAGAGUUCUUUGUCCUUGGGCUCAAGCAUGACAACUAUUAAAAUCGGUAGCCGGAGGAACCCGAAUCGUCUUCUCCACGAUCGUGUGCUUGUGCUCAGUCGCGGCGUUAAAUGAAGAGCCGCACUUUUCCGCUCAAUUCAACAAAAUGCCGCAUUUCCUGCACCUACGUACGUGCUCGGCCAGCUCUACAGGCAGAUAUAUGAUACAGCGAAAGCGAGAGAGAAAGAGCGGCAGCACUCGAGAGUCGUGGCGCAAGCAAGAUGGAGCAUAUGCGGAGAUUAUGUAUGCAGCAAUGCAUGAAGUUUAAAAAGUUUCAAGCACAUAAGCCACAAUGGCCACGUCUCUCCAGGCUUGACAUUUAUUAUCUGCCGGUUUGGCCCCAAAAUGAAGUUGUGGCCGCUUUCGUCUUCCAAACGUUGUCGCAUACGCACAUCAAGACACACACACAUAUGUGGAGAGAGACGUGAAGCAACAAGGGGCAGUGGGGCCCAGGGGAGCUGACAUCCCGUCGCUGCUCGUUUGCGGUCGACGUCAUCGUCGACGGCAUUUGCAUGCCCGGCUGGCCAUUUAACGUGUCCGUGUCCGUGUCGUUGAGUUGGAGGUGUAGAGGCGUGGUCGUGGCCCUUUGAUUUCGUUAGGCGAAACUCGGCGACUCCUACGCUCCUUUCCUGCUCGACCCGCUCCUAUGUGACGCCGCCCAUUACAGAGUCCGCACACGUUUUUCGUAAAUGUGCAUUUUUCGCUAAAUGUUUUGUAAAUGUUUCCGUUCCCAACUUUAUAAUUAGUUGGCAUGAGGGCGGCGCUAAAGAAAACGCAGCGUCGCAUCGCAUCGCAUCGCAUCGCGUCGCGUUGCGACGCAUUGCAGCGCAGCAGGAAACGGAAAAACGAGAGAAAGCACUGCGGAUAUUAUGUAAGUUAAGCGGCUGACACAUUCAGCAGGGUCGAGGGUCCAUAGAACCCAGCAAAUGUCGACCCAAUGUAGCACCAUGUCUGUUGCAAGCCAAGUGCAGCUCUACCGCCAGCUCCAGCUUAGACAUGCAGAUAAGUGCAUGCAUAGACUACAGAGAGACGUGACUAAUAUGACGGCCCGAGAAACUCGCAUCUCUAAUAGAUAAUAUUGCGCGGCACAGCUGACUUGGAUGCUUUCAGAUUAAUAUAUGACUGUAUGCAAGAAAUAUCUCCAACAAAAAGUUCUAUACUGAAAAUGUUCUAAAACCGAUUUCUUUAGUUGGUUAGUGAAUCGAAAAAGAAGUUCUGUAUUUCAAAUUUAGGAAAAUUUGUAUUGAAAGUGUUCAACAAUUAACUGGAA